rnacentral:rRNA from 1 species
AUUGAACGCUAGCGGGAUGCUUUACACAUGCAAGUCGAACGGCAGCGCGGACUUCGGUCUGGCGGCGAGUGGCGAACGGGUGAGUAAUGUAUCGGAACGUGCCCAGUAGCGGGGGAUAACUACGCGAAAGCGUAGCUAAUACCGCAUACGCCCUACGGGGGAAAGCAGGGGAUCGUAAGACCUUGCACUAUUGGAGCGGCCGAUAUCGGAUUAGCUAGUUGGUGAGGUAACGGCUCACCAAGGCGACGAUCCGUAGCUGGUUUGAGAGGACGACCAGCCACACUGGGACUGAGACACGGCCCAGACUCCUACGGGAGGCAGCAGUGGGGAAUUUUGGACAAUGGGGGCAACCCUGAUCCAGCCAUCCCGCGUGUGCGAUGAAGGCCUUCGGGUUGUAAAGCACUUUUGGCAGGAAAGAAACGUCGCGGGCUAAUACCCCGUGGAACUGACGGUACCUGCAGAAUAAGCAUCGGCUAACUACGUG